AAAGGAAUAGACGGGGGCCCGCACAAGCAGCGGAGCAUGUGGUUUAAUUCGAAGCAACGCGAAGAACCUUACCAGGUCUUGACAUCCACAGAAGGCUAUAGAGAGAUAGCUGUGCCCUUUUAGGGAACUGUGAGACAGGUGGUGCAUGGUUGUCGCCAGCUCGUGUCGUGAGAUGUUGGGUUAAGUCCCGCAACGAGCGCAACCCUUAUUGCUAGUUGCCAUCACGUAAAGGUGGGCACUUUAGCGAGACUGCCGUGGAUAACUCGGAGGAAGGUGGGGAUGACGUCAAAUCAUCAUGCCCCUUAUGACCUGGGCUACACACGUGCUACAAUGGCCGAAACAGAGGGCAGCUAAGGAGUAAUCUGGAGCAAACCCCAAAAACCCGGUCUCAGUUCGGAUUGUGGGCUGCAAUUCGCCCAUAUGAAGCAGGAGUUGCUAGUAAUCGCGGAUCAGCGAUGCCGCGGUGAAUGCGUUCCCGGGCCUUGUACACACCGCCCGU
rnacentral:rRNA from 1 species